CGCGGUCGCAGUGACGGUCGCACUCAUGGCUUGUCCAUGGGUGAGGAAAGUCCGAACUGCAACGGGCAACGGUGGUCGCUAACGGCGACGCGGAGCAAUCCGACGGAAAGUGCAACAGAAAGAAACCGCUCGGGAGAGGGUAGAGGUUAGACGGUAGAGGUGAGGAAAUAGUUUUUUCCUACCCUCUAACCUCUACCCUCUAACCUCUCCCGAGUAAGGGUGAAAUGGUGCGGUAAGAGCGCACCGCGUUCGUGGUGACAUGAACGGCACGGCAAACCCCACCGGCAGCAAGACCAAAUAGGCGUCCGAGUCUUCCUGGCCCGGGAAGCACAAGUCGGCGCGGGUAGGUCGCUUGAGCCGAUCAGCAAUGAUCGGCCUAGAGAAAUGAUCGCCCCGCUCGCGAAAGCGAGCGGAACAGAAUUCGGCUUACAAGCGGCCGCGACAA
rnacentral:RNase_P_RNA from 1 species